UCAAACAAAGCAUCAGCAACAGAACACAAGCAGUGAAAAACCGUCUACAAUCUCAUCAGCAACCUCUACAAUAGCCGAUAAAGCUGUCGCUGCCAAAAAUACAGUAGCUUCAAAGCUCGGAUAUGGUCCUGAAGCAACUCAUCAGGAAGAAGAAAAACCAUCAACAAUCUCUUCAGCAACAUCUGCAAUAGCUGAUAAAGCUGCCAGUGCCAAAAAUACCGUAGCUUCAAAGCUUGGAUAUGGUGCUGAAACAACUCAUCAAGAAGAAAAACCAUCAACAAUCUCUUCAGCAACCUCUGCAAUAGCUGAUAAAGCUGCCAGUGCCAAAAAUACCGUAGCUUCAAAGCUCGGAUAUGGUCCUGAAACAACUCAUCGGGAAGAAGAAAAACCUUCCGUAAUCUCUUCGGCAACCUCUGCAAUAGCUGAUACAGCUGUCUCAGCCAAAAAUAC
rnacentral:lncRNA from 1 species